rnacentral:rRNA from 1 species
GGCGGCGUGCUUAACACAUGCAAGUCGAACGCUGAAGCCCGCUUCGGUGGGUGGAUGAGUGGCGAACGGGUGAGUAACACGUGGGUAAUCUGCCCUGCACUCUGGGAUAAGCCUUGGAAACGGGGUCUAAUACCGGAUAGGACGCAUGGCCGCAUGGUCUGUGUGUGGAAAGUUCCGGCGGUGUAGGUUGAGCCCGCGGCCUAUCAGCUUGUUGGUGGGGUGAUGGCCUACCAAGGCGACGACGGGUAGCCGGCCUGAGAGGGUGACCGGCCACACUGGGACUGAGACACGGCCCAGACUCCUACGGGAGGCAGCAGUGGGGAAUUUUCCGCAAUGGGCGAAAGCCUGACGGAGCAAUGCCGCGUGGAGGUGGAAGGCCUACGGGUCGUCAACUUCUUU